rnacentral:rRNA from 1 species
UCCGUAGGUGAACCUGCGGAAGGAUCAUUACCCAAAAGGAUACCCUCGUGGUAUACCCCACCCGUGUCUAUCUACUCUUGUUGCUUUGGCAGGCCGUGGUCUUCCACUGUGGGCUCUGCCUGCAUGUGCCUGCCAGAGGACCAAACUCUGAAUUUUAGUGAUGUCUGAGUACUAUAUAAUAGUUAAAACUUUCAACAACGGAUCUCUUGGUUCUGGCAUCGAUGAAGAACGCAGCGAAAUGCGAUAAGUAAUGUGAAUUGCAGAAUUCAGUGAAUCAUCGAAUCUUUGAACGCACAUUGCGCCCUGUGGUAUUCCGCAGGGCAUGCCUGUUCGAGCGUCAUUACAACCAAAAUUAAGCCUAGCUUAGUGUUGGGGUUCGCAGUUCUGCGGCCCUUAAUAUCAGUGGCGGUGCCUGUAGGCUCUGAGCGUAGUAAUUCUUCUCGCUAUAGAGCCCUAUAAGUAUCUUGCCAGAACCCCCAUAUUUUUUCAGGUUGACCUCGGAUCAGGUAGGGAUACCCGCUGAACUUAAGCAUAUC